GACGUAGGGCGCGAGCGUUGUCCGGAUUUAUUGGGCGUAAAGGGCUCGUAGGCGGCCAACUAAGUCGGAUGUGAAAUCCCCAGGCUUAACCUGGGAACUGCAUCCGAUACUGGAUGGCUUGAAUUCGGGAGAGGGAUGCAGAAUUCCAGGUGUAGCGGUGAAAUGCGUAGAUAUCUGGAGGAAUACCGGUGGCGAAGGCGGCAUCCUGGACCGAGAUUGACGCUGAUGAGCGAAAGCUAGGGGAGCAAACGGG
rnacentral:rRNA from 1 species